CAUAAACAAAAUAUACAACAAAUCAACAUGUAAUUAUCACUAACUGGUUCAAAACAUUGCUCUGAAAGUAAAAUAUGUAAUAUAUUGAUAGCAGUUCAAGCUGUUGUAAAUCCUGCCCACUUCUUUGGAUUGUCAGCACAUGCUUCAGUGCUCUGAGAGUGUUUAUAGUGCUGUGAGUUUAACACUUCAUGACUGAGAGCAGAACAGAACAGAAUCUUCAUCAUCACACAAGACAAAACAACAACAAUGAACAACAUCAUCAUCUUCAUCUGGACCAUUGCAGCUUUUAUUCAAGAAUCCAGAGGAGUCACUGUGACUCAGCCUAAAGUUAAAGCUGUCCAACAGGGUCAAAGUGUUACAAUAGAGUGUAGUACGGAUGUAGGAAUAUACCAUGACAACUUAGCCUGGUAUCAGCAGAAACCUGGAGAAACUCUUAAACUUCUGAUUUAUGACAGAAGAUACCUUUAUUCAGGAACUCCAUCUAGAUUCAGUGGCGGUGGAUCAAACUAUGGAACUGAUUUCACUCUGACCAUCAGUGGAGUCCAGACUGAAGAUACAGGAGAUUAUUACUGUCAGAGUGAACACUGGAUCAACAGUAAAUAUGUGUUCACACAGUGA